rnacentral:rRNA from 1 species
CAGGACGAACGCUGGCGGCGUGCCUAAUACAUGCAAGUCGAACGGCUUUUCUAUGGAAGCUUGCUUCCACUGAGAAGAUAGUGGCGAACGGGUGAGUAACACGUGGGUAACCUGCCCAUAAGAGGGGGAUAACAUCCGGAAACGGGUGCUAAUACCGCAUAGUUUUCUUGAUCGCAUGAUCGGGAAAGGAAAGACGGCCUUUGUGCUGUCGCUUAUGGAUGGACCCGCGGCGUAUUAGUUAGUUGGUGAGGUAACGGCUCACCAAGACGAUGAUACGUAGCCGACCUGAGAGGGUGAUCGGCCACAUUGGGACUGAGACACGGCCCAAACUCCUACGGGAGGCAGCAGUAGGGAAUCUUCCGCAAUGGACGAAAGUCUGACGGAGCAACGCCGCGUGAGUGAAGAAAGGUUUUCGGAUCGUAAAACUCUGUUGUCAGAGAAGAACAAGUUGGAGAGUAACUGCUCCAGCCUUGACGGUAUCUGACCAGAAAGCCACGGCUAACUACGUGCCAGCAGCCGC